rnacentral:rRNA from 1 species
AUUGAACGCUGGCGGCAUGAUUUACACAUGCAAGUCGAACGGUAACAGGCCGCAAGGUGCUGACGAGCGGCGAACGGGUGAGUAAUGCAUCGGAACGUGCCCAGUCGUGGGGGAUAACUACUCGAAAGAGUAGCUAAUACCGCAUACGAUCUAUGGAUGAAAGCGGGGGACCGUAAGGCCUCGCGCGAUUGGAGCGGCCGAUGUCAGAUUAGGUAGUUGGUGGGGUAAAGGCUCACCAAGCCAACGAUCUGUAGCUGGUCUGAGAGGACGACCAGCCACACUGGGACUGAGACACGGCCCAGACUCCUACGGGAGGCAGCAGUGGGGAAUUUUGGACAAUGGGCGCAAGCCUGAUCCAGCAAUGCCGCGUGCAGGAAGAAGGCCUUCGGGUUGUAAACUGCUUUUGUACGGAACGAAACGGCUCUGGUUAAUACCCGGGGCUAAUGACGGUACCGUAAGAAUAAGCACCGGCUAACUACGUG